AACGACUCUCGGCAACGGAUAUCUCGGCUCUCGCAUCGAUGAAGAACGUAGUGAAAUGCAAUACUUGGUGUGAAUUACAGAAUCCUAUGAACCAUCAAGCCUUUGAACGCAAGUUGUGGCCGAAGCCAUUAGGCUGAGGGCACGUCUGGCUAGGUGUCACACAACA
rnacentral:rRNA from 1 species